rnacentral:rRNA from 1 species
AUGAACGCUGGCGGCGUGCCUCAUACAUGCAAGUCGAGCGAACGGACGAGAAGCUUGCUUCUCUGAUGUUAGCGGCGGACGGGUGAGUAACACGUGGAUAACCUACCUAUAAGACUGGGAUAACUUCGGGAAACCGGAGCUAAUACCGGAUGAUAUUUUGAACCGCAUGGUUCAAAAGUGAAAGACGGUCUUGCUGUCACUUAUAGAUGGAUCCGCGCUGCAUUAGCUAGUUGGUAAGGUAACGGCUUACCAAGGCAACGAUGCAUAGCCGACCUGAGAGAGUGAUCGGCCACACUGGAACUGAGACACGGUCCAGACUCCUACGGGAGGCAGCAGUAGGGAAUCUUCCGCAAUGGGCGAAAGCCUGACGGAGCAACGCCGCGUGAGUGAUGAAGGUCUUCGGAUCGUAAAACUCUGUUAUUAGGGAAGAACAUAUGUGUAAGUAACUGUGCACAUCUUGACGGUACCUAAUCAGAAAGCCACGGCUAACUACGUG